CGGGGCGUGGCGCAGUUUGGCUAGCGCGCUACCUUGGGGUGGUAGAGGUCGCCUGUUCAAAUCAGGUCGCCCCGACCA
rnacentral:tRNA from 3 species